rnacentral:lncRNA from 1 species
UGAAAUGAGAAUCACUCUGUAAGGACCUGAGAGCUGUUGUUUUCAAGCUCCUUGAAUGAUUCCAGUGGAUAAGGAGAAUGAGAAACAUAGGAGGACCUUGCAUCUGCAGGAGAUCCCCCUGUCCACCUAGCUCUUUUACAGACAAGGGUAAAAGAGAGGCUCCAGGGAAAAUGUACGAGGUUGGAGAUUUGAACACCAGUGAAUGUCUGGGAGUUGCUGACCCAACACAAUGGCAUGGAAGGCUUCACCAUGAAGGAAAGACACGAUAAAGUUAUUUAAACUGAUUCAGUCACCUGACUUAUGCACAUUCAUUUCCCUGGAGCCCUUUUAUUUACCAGGAUAUGUCCCCC